UGGCGGCGUGCCUAAUACAUGCAAGUCGAACGCGCAGCGAGAGGUGCUUGCACCUUUCAAGCGAGUGGCGAACGGGUGAGUAACACGUGGAUAACCUGCCUCAAGGCUGGGGAUAACAUUUGGAAACAGAUGCUAAUACCGAAUAAAACUUAGUAUCGCAUGAUAUCAAGUUAAAAGGCGCUACGGCGUCACCUAGAGAUGGAUCCGCGGUGCAUUAGUUAGUUGGUGGGGUAAAGGCUUACCAAGACAAUGAUGCAUAGCCGAGUUGAGAGACUGAUCGGCCACAUUGGGACUGAGACACGGCCCAAACUCCUACGGGAGGCUGCAGUAGGGAAUCUUCCACAAUGGGCGCAAGCCUGAUGGAGCAACGCCGCGUGUGUGAUGAAGGCUUUCGGGUCGUAAAGCACUGUUGUAUGGGAAGAAAUGCUAAAAUAGGGAAUGAUUUUAGUUUGACGGUACCAUACCAGAAAGGGACGGCUAAAUACGUGCCAGCAGCCGCGG
rnacentral:rRNA from 1 species